GUCCUCCGAUAAGUAUCCGAAAAAACGCGAGGACACAUUAACGGUUGAAUGGAAAGUACACAAGAUAAUCAACGACAGCCGGGGAAACGAGGUGUAUAUGUACCAGCCGAAUCCAGAAGACAUUCGACGACAGCCUUCCUCGCGUGUGUCUUCAUCGGAGAGAGACUUCAGUAGGCCAAGGACUGUAUCUGUGUAUGACUACAUCGACACCGAAUCAAGGUGUGAGAUUCAACGGCCAAUUCUACGCCCAAAUGUCAACAGAAUAUAAACCACUUAAAACCAUAUUCCAUAGAAGCAUGAUAUUCAUAGUGCAGGACUACAUUGCAAACAUUGUGUACUUAAAAUAUAUCAUACUUAUGUAUUGAAAACGUAUCACAUUUGAAACUAUUGUCAUUUCUUGCAUCUGUCGUAUGUAUUAUAAUCAGGAUUUAUAGUCAAA